GAUGAAGAACGUAGCGAAAUGCGAUACUUGGUGUGAAUUGCAGAAUCCCGUGAACCAUCGAGUCUUUGAACGCAAGUUGCGCCUCAAGCCAUUAGGUUGAGGGCACGUCUGCCUGGGCGUCACAUAUCGUUGCCUGAUGCCAGUUUCCUCGUGAUGGGUGACUGUGCAGGGCGAAUGAUGGCUUCCCGUGAGCAUUGUUGCCUCAUGGUUGGAUGAAAAUUGAGUCCUUGGUAGGGAGCGCCGUGAUAGAUGGUGGUUGAGUGACGAACGAGACCCAAUCAUGUGAGACCCCUACCGAAUUUGGCCUUCAUGACCCACAUGCGUCUUUGGAACGCUCAUGACGAGACCUCAGGUCAGGCGGGGCUACCCGCUGAGUUUAAGCAUAUCAAUAAGCGGAGGA
rnacentral:misc_RNA from 1 species